rnacentral:lncRNA from 10 species
GCGCUCAGCCGACCCGAGGGCGCCGGGCUGGGCGGGCGGAGUCGGGCCGUGGGGGCGGGGCCGCGAGGAAGGCUUGGCCUAGCCCAGGCCCUCCGCCCAUCCGACUCUUCCGGCCCUUGGAGGCCUGGCUCCUGUACCUUCACCUGGCGUCUUGGCGCCUUUUUCUCAGCGGCCUGUGGGUGGAUGUGCAUGGUGUGGCCUGGAGAGAGCCUGGAGCUCCAUGAGCACCUGAAGACUGAAAGAGGAAAUGGAAGUGGGGGCGGCCACACCCAGUGCAGGGUUGAUACUGUGCCCUGAGGUGACAUAAAAGACACUCCUUUUCCAAAGCAGAAUUGGCCAGGAAAUGAAUAAACACCCGGAGAAAA